rnacentral:tRNA from 3 species
GCCCCCAUAGUCUAGCCUGGAUAUGAUACAACCCUGCGGAGGUUGUGGCCCGGGUUCGAAUCCCGGUGGGGGCG